rnacentral:rRNA from 1 species
AUUCCAGCUCCAAUAGCGUAUAUUAAUGUUGUUGCAGUUAAAAAGCUCGUAGUUGAAUUUCUGGUUAAAAUCUUAGCUGGCUUUGGUCGUUAAUGUUUUAAUCAUCCGUUAGAGAACUAUAACCGUCCUUAACUGGUCAUUAUAGAGAUCUAACAUUUUACUUUGAAAAAAUUAGAGUGUUCAAGGCAGGCAAUCGUCAUGAAUACUAUAGCAUGGAAUAAUGGAAUAGGACUUUGGUUCAUUUUAUUGGUUAUUGAACCUUAGUAAUGAUUAACAGGGACAGUUGGGGGCAUUAGUAUUUAAUUGUCAGAGGUGAAAUUCUUGGAUUUAUUAAAGACUAACUUAUGCGAAAGCAUUUGCCAAGGAUGUUUUCAUCG